CGAAAAAAAAAAUUACUUGAGGGCUCUGUAGUUGGCAACAAGGAGGAAUUUGAAGUAGAAUCGGAAUAAAUGGAAAAAGCUUUGACCGACUCUGCUCGUUUCAAAUAUUAAGCAGUGUCGACUUCUUGUUUAACCCAAUCCAAAUGGUAGCCCGAAAACGGACAGAAAUUGAGAAAAAAAAUAUUACAAGUGGUCUAGAUUUUAGAUCAUUGAACGUUAAAACAUGAGGAGCAGUUCUAUUCUUUUUAUUUGGAUGGUAUUUUCUUUACAUGGUCACCAGAGAACAGAAAGUCUGCUGCACAGAGAUGACGCUGAUAUUGUUAAUGUCAAACCAAAAGAUAGGCCUACUUUAGAGUCCUCCAUCCAGCCCAAUAGUAGUGGUAUAUCUACAUGCUCGUCUGUCUAUGCAUUAGACAUUCACAUUCUUAGAGUAACACAAUUUAAAAUGUUUUUUAAUGUUACUUUUGAACUUUCAAGUGUUUUAGUUAAUUUAAAAAUACAAAAUGCAGUACAUCAGUUCUGUGUCAUCAUAUGAUACACAUUACACAUUAAAGUCAUGAGGGUAACGCAGAGCACAGACACACCUGUUAGUAAUAGAAAUUACUAUCUUUUUGAAAUAUUAUAACGGUAAAACCAGUGUUUUCGCAA